AGCAGUAUGUCUAACAAGGGAAAAUGGAAGCAGACUGGGUCUACAGGACAGAGUACAUGUCCGACAUUUAGAUGUGAUUAACGAUGCAGAUUCGAUCCUCUGUGAAUGUGGUCCCGUUCACUUUCUAGUCAGCAACACCCCCCACCUCCCACCUAGUCAGCCAACAGAUGAAGUCUUUGCAAACGGAAAUACUCAGGUUUGAGGACCAAGAUGCAUUGGAUGGGGGUUCAGACGGCCUGUCUGUGAUUCGCCCAAUUCUGGCUUUAGCCUCUAAGCUCUAAACAGAGCAAGGGCCCCGAUUCUGCAUUUUACAGAAGAAGGGAAGGAAUGUCUGAAGCGAAGUACAGAGAAAAACACAUUUGGAAAGACCGGAGGGUAUACACACAGCUACAAGAAAGGUGAUGUGAGAUUUAUAGGUAGAGACUCUACCAUUAGGAAUUGCCAGUUAAAAUGGCCUUUUGCCAAGCUGCAUAUGGCACACUGCCAGUCCCCUUGCUGUCCCGCCUGCUCCCAGCAUGCAUUGUUUUUCUAAGAGUUAAAAACCUGGCUAUCCUACUGAGAAAACUACUCUCAGAAAUCUGUUUGGCUCUAUUUGUACAACCUACUGUUGUUAUAGCUUCGACAAUGGCUUGCUUUUUAUUGGUAAGCGAGCAUGUUUGCGCGGCUGUGGUUUGUUGUGGUGAGAUUGCAUCGAUUGUGAGUGCUCAGUGUGCAAGUGUCAGGGUGCAAUAGGCUGAAGGUAAUUAUUGAGGCCUUUUCUAAGAACUCCCCCUCCCAGCCCUGCACUAGCCUCUCCCUGGAAGCAAUGCGCUCAUUCUGCGAAACAGCUGGCCCAUUGCCGCUAGCUCGCUCACUUAGCUAGCCCACAAAGGCAGACAGACAACACUACAUGCUCCAUUACCAUAAUGUAUAAAAGCACACUGUAUCUGUCUAUUCUGUUCACAGAAUAGGUGAAAUAAAAUUGUAUACA